rnacentral:snRNA from 1 species
GUGCUCGCUUUGGCAGCACGUAUACUAAAAUUGGAACGAUACAGAGAAGAUUAGCACAGCUCCUGCGCAAGGAUGACACGCAGAUUUGUGAAGCGUUCCAUAGUUUU